rnacentral:rRNA from 1 species
UGGCGGACGGGUGAGUAACGCGUAGGUAACGUGUCCUGAGGUGGGGAACAACCCCGGGAAACUGGAGCUAAUACCGCAUAUGUCCUGAGGCCCAAGAUUAAUCGCCCCUUUGGAACGCCCUGCUUCCUAUUAUGUAUUUGGUGGGGUAAAGGCCUACCAAGCCUGCUAUCUAUAUCUGGUCUGAGAGGAAUACCCCCCACACUGGGACUGACACACGGCCCACACUCCUACGGGAGGCAGCAGUGGGGAAUAUUGGACUAUGGGCGAAAGCCUGAUCCAGAUUGCCGUGUGUGUGAAAAGGUCUUCGGGAUCGUAAAGCCCUUUCGACGGGGACGAUGAUGACGGUACCCGUAAAAAAGC